CAGCUUUGUGUCUCAAAGUGCCCAGACAGGUUUGCAACUUACAUCGAUGUUCAGGCUUCCUACAGAUAUAAACCAGAUCAGUGGAAUUACUUCAGGCAGUUCUGCAAACCUGGUUUUAACAAUCCUCGCAAGUCUGUUGCUCAAGUCCUACGUGAUGAAGAUUGUCCUUCGAUGAUCAUUCCAAGCAGGCCUUUUCUUAAGAGAUGCUUCC